rnacentral:lncRNA from 10 species
AAUUUGCUUUAUGUAAUUGGGUGGAUAUAAAUUAAUAAACAGAAAUUUAAGCAAGAUACAUGUAACAAUUUAACACAACUUGAUACUCUAAUUUCUUUCAAUUUUUCUCAAAUUCAUCUUUAAGUCUUUCCAUCAUGGGGCUCAUAAGGAAAUUUAACCAACAUAUGGAUACUAUAGUUGAAUGUCAAAUCUUUACAAAGUACUUAAGAGAUACUAAAUUCCUCUAUAUUGCAAUUAUGAAGAAGCUUCAUGACACUGUGUUUUGCAUGUAGAAAAAUGUUAGAGUCCAAUAUGCAGCUCAACAUAAAAUAAUAAGAAACAUUUCUGAUUUCUUUGUUAGGUUGAGACCACUUUUCCUUUUCCUAAUGAAUGAUUUUUCUUUACUGUUAUGUCACUGAAGUGAAAAAGUAGGUCACCUAGGAGUAUAUACGAAAAAAUAAAUACAUUAAAUGGAUAAAACAUUACUACUAUGUCUUUACCUCUAACACUUCAGAAGCCUAGAGAUUUAAAGUAUUCUUACAUUAAAUGGAAGAAAAAAUGGAGAAAUUCCUUCUUUUUUGAGAUCACAACUAUGAAGUCAUGUGGUUAUACAAAUUCUGCAUUUGUGUGCAAAAUGUGAAACACACUUUUUGCUUCUACUUGCUUCAUUUUGUCAGUUAGCUAGCAGGACUUAAUAGAUACCUUUCCAAGAAACAGGGACUGAGAUGUGUUUUAUGUAACUUCAGUAACCUCAGCAUUACAGUAAUGAGGGAUGCAGUAUCUUUUUGCUAUGGUUCAAGACAAGAGGGAAGGAGGUCACAGGAAACAGAAUAAAUCAAAAUUGUUACAGCUGAGUAACUAUUUCUCAUGAGGUCUCACCGUGGUGCCACCUUCAUUUUUCAUAAACAUGGUGGCAUAAUUCAAUCUCAAUAAAUCAGAAUUCUUAAUAUUUAAAAUUUACCUUGAUUUUCAAUUAUCACCAUAUUAACAACCAAAAUAAUUAGAUAAAACACACAGGAAAGUGUAAUAUUAAACCCCACUGUAAUAGAGUUGGUUUAUUGACACUUUUUUUUUUUAAUAGAAAAGGGAUAGUACAUCUCAGUUUGCUUACAAGCUAGGAUAUCACUUUGAAUUCUGCAUUUCCUGACUGCAAACAGAAUAUAGCACUUAUAACAGAUUAUAAAUAAACUGGUUUUCAAGCAUAGAACUAGCCCAAUGAUAAUAAUACACUAUUUAAAAGGACCUAAGGCAAUGAAUUCCAUUUCUAAUGGAAAAAAAUAACUGUGCAAACAAGCUUUAAACUACUUUUUUUGUGUGUGCCAGUGUUAUAAAAUGCAGCUUUUAAUAAAACCUUGACCCAAAUGCCAGUAACAUCAGAAAAGAAUUUGGGGAUGGGGAGGGGGAAGAGAAGAAAGUUAUUUCAUUUAGGAAAAUAACUACUAUCUUUUGCUUAUCUUCAGUACAUACAAUUUAAACAAAUACAGCUGCUGUAACACUUUACACAAUUCCUAUGUACUGGAGCAAUAACAAGGUCUAAAUACAGUUAUAUUUUUGAACAUUGGGUCAAGGCCUUACAUAAAAAUACCAUCCUACUUUUCUCUCUAAGUUUUGAAAUAUCAUGUACUUUCCCCCAACAUCUGCAGCCAUCCAGGAAUUUUUAGGAAACUUUUGUGCAUGAUCUUAAUUCCUAAUCCCUGGUUCUUUGGGCUUAGUGACAACAGAUCAAAACCCCCCAACAUGAUGGUUCACUUGAAGUCAGAUGAGACACCCUGGCUCAAUAGUCUAGGUUGAAAGCAGUGCUGCAUCAACUGGCUCCAUGGAGGAGGGGCACGUGAAGGAUCUCAUCUACCAGUCAUAAUACAGUCCAGGUGGUAGAUGUACAUGCACGAAAUUGAAUUGGGUCCCCAUAAACAAAGUCCAUCAUACAGAUCACACACUCCCAGAUCUGUUUUACUGAUCCAUCUCUUCCAGGGUCAUAAACUCCUUUAGGCAGAUGUUGUAUAAGGCCUAUUCUUUGAGCUAUCCUAAUUUGUUAGGAUAGGUGUUUGCUAGGUGUUGGAUGGUAGACUGGAGCUGGAACCUGUUCCUGAUAUGGCAGCGGCUCCUGAUACGGCUUAGUUCCCUCGCUAAAGCUAGCCCAGUCGGACUGAGACUCCUGAAGCAGGGAGAUGUCAUCCGAGGUGGGGGAUUUGAGGCAGUUCCCCAUCUUCUGGGGCCAAGGGGUGGGUGUGUGAUCUG